AGCUAGCUAAAAGUAUGUUUAUUUGUUUUUAAAAUUAUGUAAAGUUUUAUUUUAGCUUAAAAUUUUGGUUUAGUUUUAUUUUACAUGUAAAUUUUUGUGUAUUUUAAUAUUUUAAAAAAAUAUUUGUUAAAUUUUGCAGUAAGGAGAUUUAAAUAUCAGUGUAAGCUGGAUUUAGGAAUAAUUAUAAUUAUUAACUUAGUUUGUGCCAGCAGUUGCGGUUAUACAAACAAUAAUAUCAAAAUUUCUUUGGUUUAUUAGAUAAUUUUGUAGUUAACUUUAGUUUAAAAUUUAUUAGGUGAAAUUUUAAAUUUUAAAAUAAGUUUUUAUAUGAUACUAAGAAAUUCAAAUUUUAGACUAGGAUUAGAUACCCUAUUAUUUUGAAUGUUAAGUUUAAAUACCUAAUUAGUAUUAGCUAUGCUCUUGAAAAUUAAAAAUUUUGGCGGUAUUUUAGUCUGUUCAGAGGAACCUGUCCUGUAAUUGAUGAUCCACGAUAAAUUAAACCUUUUCUUUUAGUUUAUAUAUCGUUGUAGUUUGAAUAUUUUUUUAGAAUUUAAAUAUUCAUAAUUUUUAUUAAAAAAGAAAUCAGAUCAAGGUGUAGCUUAUGAAGGGGGAAGAGAUGGGUUACAUUAAAUUUAUUUUUGGGAUUAGUUUAAUAAUUAAACUAUGAACUUGGAUUUGAUAGUAAUUUUAAUUUUUAAUUAAAAUGAUUUUAGCUCUAAAAUAUGCACAUAUCGCCCGUCGCUUUCACUUUAAGGUGAAAUAAGUCGUAACAAAGUAGGCUUACUGGAAGGUGUGCCUAGAAAGU
rnacentral:ncRNA from 1 species